GGAUGCAGCAUCCUAGUUGAGGACGCCCCUCUGAGGCCCGCCUCCAGACACAGCCACUCGGGGCUCCGGGCUUCAGUGAAUGGAUUUAGGGGACACAAACAAUCAGUCCACAGCAGGGCCACCCCCAUUCCCCCUUCCCACCCAGACCUGUGGGCUGAGCCUUCUUUUUCUUGGGAAUGGCCUCUUCGGGAGCUGUGUGUGUUGCAGGAGCCGGUGACCUUCAGGGACGUGGCCAUCUACUUCUCAAGGGAGGAGUGGGCGUGUCUGGAACCCAGCCAGAGGGCCCUCUACCGGGACGUGAUGCUGGACAACUUCAGCAGUGUGGCUGCUCUGGGAUUUUGCAGCCCCAGACCAGACCUCGUCUCUCGCCUGGAACAGUGGGAAGAGCCGUGGGUUGAAGACCGGGAGAGACCUGAGCUCCAGGCAGUGCAGAGAGGGCCCCAGCCAGGGGCAAGGAAGUCUGCAGACCCCAAGAGACACUGUGAUCAU
rnacentral:sRNA from 1 species